CAGCCGCCGCGGUAAUACGGAGGGCGCGAGCGUUGUCCGGAUUCACUGGGCGUAAAGCGGGUGUAGGCGGUCGGGUAAGUCGGACGUGAAAGCCCGGGGCUCAACCCCGGAAGGGCGUCCGAAACUGCUCGACUUGAGGGCGGGAGAGGGAGGUGGAAUUCCCGGUGUAGCGGUGAAAUGCGUAGAUACCGGGAGGAACACCAGUGGCGAAGGCGGCCUCCUGGCCCGCUCCUGACGCUGAGACCCGAAAGCGUGGGGAGAAAACCGGAUUAGAUCCCCGGGUAGUCCACGCCGUAAACGGUGGGCACUAGGUGUGGGGGGUUAAUCCCUCCGUGCCGAAGCUAACGCAUUAAGUGCCCCGCCUGGGGAGUACGGCCGCAAGGUUGAAACUUAAAGGAAUUGGCGGG
rnacentral:rRNA from 1 species